AAUAAGCCUGUGAACCAUUAUCAAUUAUUUACAUUUUUUAUAUCCCUUGUGAUAUUUAUAGAUGAAGUCCAGCAGGUGAAAAUAUAAUACUUACUUUACAUGACUAGAACAAUUCAGAUGCCAGCCUAUAGAGCAAUGGGUCUUGAUGUCAAACACUUCAUGAUAAUGCAGAAAUAUAGAAAGAAGAAUCUUAAUUUGUGCUACUAUACUUUUUGAAGUCUUCUGGUGAAAUUUAUGACCAGAGUGAACAUGGCCAGCAUUACAGCAUCAUGAAGUCCACAUAGACCACAACAUCCCUGCUGUUUCAGACAUGAAGACAGGCAAACAAUUCCUCGUCUCAGACCCAGCCAGAAGUGUCUGGGACCAUGGGUGCUCCUGGUGUUCAGCACUACGGACAGCGCUGCGCAUUCCUUCAGGGCAGGUCCCCGCUUCCUUAUCUGAGGCACGAGAAUCCGUGUAGUAUGCGAGUCACACACCAGAGCCCGUACAACAGGAGACAUGAUUUGUUGUUGCUGGUAUAUUAACUCUUUGUUUCCAGCAGGUGGAGAGGCUUCAAACGCCAAAGAACACGCCAGGCUAUUUUUCCGUGCUUGCCAAGGAAAUGCAUCUACUUUGUCUCUAGGCAAAAUGUAAAACCAACAAAUAACUUUUCAGCAACUAAUUUUGUUUGAGUAAUAAUGGUUUCUGGCUUGGCUAGUUUCUGAUGCAUAAUGAUCAGGUGGGUUAAGACCUUGAGGCAUUUCCUGAGUCUUUGCAUUCAGCCUUGACUGCUUGUUAAAAAAUGAAAAAUGUAGCUAGACUCAAACCUUCAAGCCAGUGGAACACUGUCCUCAGGCUGAAGCCUAAUGUGAAGCUGAUAAUUUAUUUUAAUCCACUCAUAUGCUAGUCUUAUUAACAGGAAGACAGAUUUACUGCAUUGUUUAUUACUCAGGAAGUUGAUCACUGGCAGAUGUUUUUCUGAACUGGUACUUUAUUAGAUGAGUAAAAGUGCUGUUUAAGACUGUGUUUCACUAUUGUCAUAGCUAUCAAAAUAUAUUAUGCUACAAAACAGUGAUCUAGAAAUAAAAAAUACGAAUGUAAUUACAUACGUAUCAGAAAUAUCUCCUCAAAUUCAAAUGCUUUCUAUUAUUACAAAAACUGAAAAUAAACCAAAGAGUGUACGGGAAAAGGUAUAAAUGAUUAUUCUCUUUUGAAUUUUAUAAAGCAAGAGAAUCUGAUAAAUAUCUAUUUACUACUGUUAAAUUCUACACAUCUCACCCCAUGGGAUAUUCCAGAAGAUUUCUUUCUAGUCUGAUCAUACUGAUCCACAAUGAUCCCAACUGUUUCAUGUGAUCAAUCACACAUCCUGAGGAUAAUUGUCUUUUGGAAAGCUACCUAAAGACAAUAGCGUGUUUCUUAACAACAAAAAUGUAUCUGUUCCAGAUGAAGGCUAUCUUGCUGCUCUUGGUAAGGUGCUUUUCCGUGCCAAAACUAACAUGCUAGCCCUAGUGAUAAAGCAGUUCAAAAUUCUGGCAGUUCACUGGACCUGAUUAUGUGUAUUUAAGCUUUGUUAAUUAUAAAUUAACUUGAAUAGCCAAAUGCAAAGAAUCUUCUGACACAGUGUCAUGAAAAACAACCACAAGCAUUUGGAAAACAAAUUAAUAUUAAUAAACUGAUUUAAAUUUCAUCUUGCAAAAUGGUAAAAUUAUUGGGUAGGUACAGUAUGUUUCCUUAAACCAUCUUGUGCGGGAGCUGCUUUAUGCUGAUGACGCCGCCCUUGUCGCCCACACAGAAGCAGCUCUGCAGCGUUUAACAUCCUG